rnacentral:rRNA from 1 species
UACGUAGGGGGCGAGCGUUGUCCGGAGUUACUGGGCGUAAAGGGCACGCAGGCGGUGCGGCGCGUGUCGCGUGACAGCGGAGGGCUUAACUCUCCGAGGAUGCGAAAGACGGCGGCACUUGAGGGCCAGAGAGGGACACGGAAUUCCCGGUGUAGUGGUGAAAUGCGUAGAUAUCGGGAGGAACACCAGUGGCGAAGGCGACUACCUGGCCUGUUCUUGACGCUGAGGCGCGAAAGCUAGGGGAGCAAACGGG